rnacentral:tRNA from 1 species
GGUUAUAGCUCAGUGGUACAGCACUUGCCUAGCAUGUGAGUGGCCCUGGGUUCGAUCCUCUGCACCA